rnacentral:rRNA from 1 species
CAGCUGUUAGCUGCACUGACAUGAGGCUCGAAGUGUGGGUAUCAAACAGGAUUAGAUACCCUGGUAGUCCACACGGUAAACGAUGAAUACUCGCUGUUUGCGAUAUACAGCAAGCGGCCAAGCGAAAGCGUUAAGUAUUCCACCUGGGGAGUACGCCGGCAACGGUGAAACUCAAAGGAAUUGACGGGGGCCCGCACAAGCGGAGGAACAUGUGGUUUAAUUCGAUGAUACGCGAGGAACCUUACCCGGGCUUAAAUUGCAGAUGAAUUACGGUGAAAGCCGUAAGCCGCAAGGCAUCUGUGAAGGUGCUACAUGGUUGUCGUCAGCUCGUGCCGUGAGGUGUCGGCUUAAGUGCCAUAACGAGCGCAACCCUUGUUGUCAGUUACUAACAGGUUCCGCUGAGGACUCUGACAAGACUGCCAUCGUAAGAUGUGAGGAAGGUGGGGAUGACGUCAAAUCAGCACGGCCCUUACGUCCGGGGCUACACACGUGUUACAAUGGGGGGUACAGAGGGCCGCUACCACGCGAGUGGAUGCCAAUCCCCAAAACCUCUCUCAGUUCGGACUGGAGUCUGCAACCCGACUCCACGAAGCUGGAUUCGCUAGUAAUCGCGCAUCAGCCACGGCGCGGUGAAUACGUUCCCGGGCCUUGUACACACCGCCCGUCAAGCCAUGGGAGCCGGGGGUACCUGAAGUGCGUAACCGCGAGGAGCGCCCUAGGGUAAAACUGGUGACUGGGGCUAAGUCGUAACAAGGUAACC